GAACGCUGGCGGCGUGCCUAAUACAUGCAAGUCGAGCGGAAUGAUGAAGAAGCUUGCUUCUUCUGAUUUUAGCGGCGGACGGGUGAGUAACACGUGGGCAACCUACCUUGUAGAUUGGGAUAACUCCGGGAAACCGGAGCUAAUACGGGAUGAUCAUUUGAAUCGCAUGAUUGAAAUGUAAAAGUGGGGAGUAAUCCUCACACUAUGAGAUGGGCCCGCGGCGCAUUAGCUAGUUGGUAAGGUAAUGGCUUACCAAGGCAACGAUGCGUAGCCGACCUGAGAGGGUGAUCGGCCACACUGGAACUGAGACACGGUCCAGACUCCUACGGGAGGCAGCAGUAGGGAAUCUUCCACAAUGGGCGAAAGUCUGAUGGAGCAACGCCGCGUGAGUGAAGAAGGUUUUCGGAUCGUAAAACUCUGUUGUAAGGGAAGAACACGUACGAGAGUAACUGCUCGUACCUUGACGGUACCUUAUUAGAAAGCCACGGCUAACUACGUG
rnacentral:rRNA from 1 species